UUAAGUGACUAAGCGUAUACGGUGGAUGCCUUGGCAGUUAGAGGCGAUGAAGGACGUGUAAGUCUGCGAAAAGCUGUGGUGAGCCGACAAAAUGCAUUUGAGCCACAGAUGUCCGAAUGGGGAAACCCACCUAUUUAUAGGUAUCGUUACAUGAAUAUAUAGUGUAACGAGGCGAACGAGGGGAACUGAAACAUCUAAGUACCCUUAGGAAAAGAAAUCAACCGAGAUUCCCCUAGUAGCGGCGAGCGAACGGGGAUUAGCCCUUAAGCAAUUAUGAACGUAGUGGAAGCCUCUGGGAAGUGGCGCGAUACAAGGUGAUAGCCCUGUACACGAAGUGUUUGUUUUUGUGAAAUCGAGUAGGUCGGGACACGUGUUAUCUUGACUGAAUAUGGGGGGACCAUCCUCCAAGGCUAAAUACUCCUAACUGACCGAUAGUGAACCAGUACCGUGAGGGAAAGGCGAAAAGAACCCCUGUGAGGGGAGUGAAAUAGAACCUGAAACCGUAUACGUACAAGCAGUGGGAGCAGACUUGUUCUGUGACUGCGUACCUUUUGUAUAAUGGGUCAGCGACUUAUAUUUUGUAGCAAGGUUAACCGAAUAGGGGAGCCGUAGCGAAAGCGAGUGUUAACUGCGCGUUUAGUUGCAGGGUAUAGACCCGAAACCCGGCGAUCUACCCAUGGGCAGGUUGAAGGUUGAGUAACAUCAACUGGAGGACCGAACACACGUAUGUUGAAAAAUGCGGUGAUGACUUGUGGGUCGGAGUGAAAGGCUAAUCAAGCCGGGAGAUAGCUGGUUCUCCCCGAAAUCUAUUUAGGUAGAGCCUCGCACGAACACCAUUGGGGGUAGAGCACUGUUAAGGCUAGGGGGUCAUCCCGACUUACCAACCCUUUGCAAACUCCGAAUACCAAUGAGUGAUAUGCGGGAGACACACUACGGGUGCUAACGUCCGUUGUGAAGAGGGAAACAACCCAGACCGCCAGCUAAGGUCCCAAAGUACUAGUUAAGUGGGAAACGAUGUGGAAAGGCAUAGACAGCUAGGAGGUUGGCUUAGAAGCAGCCAUCCUUUAAAGAAAGCGUAAUAGCUCACUAGUCGAGUCGGUCUGCGCGGAAGAUGUAACGGGGCUAAACUAGUCACCGAAGCUGCGGAUUCAUAAUUUAUUAUGAGUGGUAGGGGAGCGUUCUGUAAGCCGUUGAAGGUGUGUUGUAAAGCAUGCUGGAGGUAUCAGAAGUGCGAAUGCUGACAUGAGUAACGAUAAGGGGAGUGAAAAACUCCCCCGCCGAAAGACCAAGGUUUCCUGUCCCAUGUUAAUCAGGGCAGGGUAAGUCGGCCCCUAAGGCGAGGCGGAAACGCGUAGUCGAUGGGAAACAGAUUAAUAUUUCUGUACUUCUAUAUAUUGCGAAGGAGGGACGGAGUAGGCUAGGUGAGCACGGCGUUGGUAGUCCGUGUGAAAGUAUGUAGGCGGUUGACUUAGGUAAAUCCGGGUCUUCAUUAACGCUGAGAUACGAGACGAGUGUCCAAGGACAUGAAGUCAUUGAUGCCAUGCUUCCAGGAAAAGCUUCUAAGCUUCAGAUAUAUAGGAACCGUACCCCAAACCGACACAGGUGGUUAGGUAGAGAAUACUAAGGCGCUUGAGAGAACUCGGGUGAAGGAACUAGGCAAAAUAGUACCGUAACUUCGGGAGAAGGUACGCUCUCUAAUGUGAAUGACUUGCUCAGUAAGCAUCGGAGAGUCGAAGUAACCAGGUGGCUGGAACUGUUUAUUAAAAACACAGCACUGUGCAAAAUCGAAAGAUGACGUAUACGGUGUGACGCCUGCCCGGUGCCGGAAGGUUAAUUGAUUGGGUUAGCUCUGCGAAGCUCAUGAUCGAAGCCCCGGUAAACGGCGGCCGUAACUAUAACGGUCCUAAGGUAGCGAAAUUCCUUGUCGGGU
rnacentral:rRNA from 1 species